GUGUUCUCACUUCAGCAGCACAUACAGUAAAAUUGGAAGGAUACAGAGAAAAUUAGCAUGAUCUCUGCACAGAAAUAACAUGCAAAUUCAUGAGGCAUUCCAUAUUUUA